ACACAUCUAGAUUUUUAAUUAACAUUGUCAUAUUUGCUUCAUCUAUUUUUGCUGAGUUGUUUAAACAUAACUUAUAGACAUCAUAUCGUUUCACCUUUAAAUCUAUGAAUAUGUACAUAUCUACUUUCAGUUCUGAAGGCCCCGGGGGAGAAUCUGUUUCUAUCCCUUUUCCAGUGUCCUUGGCCCAUGGCCCCUUCCUCCGUGUGGCUGGCAGAGCCUUCCUCUUGUUGCCUCUCUCUGCACCUCCUUCUGUCAUCCUGUCUUUCUCUCUCCGCAGUUGGAAAGGGUCUCUACUUUUAAGGGUCUGCCAAGAUAGUCUUAUUGGUUUAGGAGCUUCAAACUUAGUCACAUCUGCAAAGUCCCUUUGUCAUGUAAGGUGACAUAUUC
rnacentral:lncRNA from 1 species